rnacentral:rRNA from 1 species
CUUUAUUGGAGAGUUUGAUCCUGGCUCAGGACGAACGCUGGCGGCAUGCCUAAUACAUGCAAGUCGAGCGGACUUGAAGAGAAGCUUGCUUCUCUGAUGGUUAGCGGCGGACGGGUGAGUAACACGUAGGCAACCUGCCCUCAAGUUUGGGACAACUACCGGAAACGGUAGCUAAUA